rnacentral:rRNA from 1 species
GACGAACGCUGGCGGCGUGCCUAAUACAUGCAAGUAGAACGCUGAAGGAGGAGCUUGCUUCUCUGGAUGAGUUGCGAACGGGUGAGUAACGCGUAGGUAACCUGCCUGGUAGCGGGGGAUAACUAUUGGAAACGAUAGCUAAUACCGCAUAAUAGCAGUUAUUGCAUGAUAACUGUUUGAAAGGUGCAAUUGCACCACUACCAGAUGGACCUGCGUUGUAUUAGCUAGUUGGUGGGGUAACGGCUCACCAAGGCGACGAUACAUAGCCGACCUGAGAGGGUGGUCGGCCACACUGGGACUGAGACACGGCCCAGACUCCUACGGGAGGCAGCAGUAGGGAAUCUUCGGCAAUGGACGGAAGUCUGACCGAGCAACGCCGCGUGAGUGAAGAAGGGUUUCGGAUCGUAAAGAUCUGUUGUAAGAGAAGAACGAGUGUGAGAGUGGAAAGUUCACACUGUGACGGUAUCUUACCAGAAAGGGACGGCUAACUACGUG